rnacentral:rRNA from 1 species
CCUACGGGGGGCAGCAGUGAGGAAUAUUGGUCAAUGGCCGGAAGGCUGAACCAGCCAUGCCGCGUGAAGGUCAGUGCCCUAUGGGCGUUAAACUUCUUUUGUGCGGGAGCAAGAAUGGUCACGUGUGGCCAGACGAGAGUACCGUACGAAUAAGCAUCGGCUAACUCCGGGCCAGCAGCCGCGGUAAUACGGGGGAUGCAAGCGUUAUCCGGAUUUAUUGGGUUUAAAGGGAGCGUAGAUGGGUUGUUAAGUCAGUUGUGAAAGUUUGCGGCUCAACCGUAAAAUUGCAAUUGAUACUGGCAGUCUUGCGUACAGUUGAGGUAGGCGGAAUUCGUGGUGUAGCGGUGAAAUGCUUAGAUAUCACGAAGAACCCCGAUUGCGAAGGCAUCUCACGAAUCCGCGAUUGACGCUGAUGCACGAAAGCGUGGGUAUCAAACAGGAUUAGAUACCCUUGUAGUC